GCCAGGCAUCGUAGUGCAUACCUGUAAUCCCAGCCACUUAGGAGGCUGAGGCAGGAGGAUCAUGAGUUCAAAGCCAGCCUUAGCAAAAGUGAGCCACUAAGCAACUCAGUGAGACUCUGUCUCUA
rnacentral:sRNA from 1 species